AGGAAGUCAUGUUGGGAUGUCACCGUCUCACCUGUUGUCGUUGAUAAGCACUCAGUCGCCCAGCUGCUGAGGGGCCCCACUGGGGGCUUAUUGAUAAGAACGUGUGGAGAAGCAAUGAUGACAAGGGGACAUUUAGACUAUAAAUACCAGGAGUUCGGGAGGAAUAUCCGAGGGUGUUCAGAUUGGGCAAGGCGACCCUUUGCUGAUCUAGAUAGUUCCCGAGGACCUUUGGGGCAUCAGCUCCAGGCGUGGUAAAGGCGACUCUGAAGGGCAGUGGUGGAAGCCUUGCAGCAGCCUCAGGAGAUCAUCUUGUCCGUCAACACCGUCGCCAUGGUCGCUCCCUAGCAACGUGCUCUAGCAACGGGACUUUUACUUCUGCGCUGGCAGCUGGACAGCAGCUUGCGGUUGGCCAGGCCCUCUCUCUCGACACCAACUCAUAUAAAGCCAUGGCUACUCCUCCGACAGCGCCAAUAGCAGUUGUGCCACCAUUUCAAAAUGGAACACCACCUUCUGGUCCAGAUACAACGCCCCUGUCUGUGACAUCCUCUAUUUCCUGCACGGAUCACAAUCCUGGGCACUUUGUUGCAACUGAGGGCUCACCAGCAUCACCAAGCCCAAUCUUUUCACCCUACCCCUCGCCAUCAGCACCACCUCCUCACUGGGAAACCUUUGAUCAAUGGGGAAACCAAGUCCUGAGGGAAGCUGACAAAGCAGUGGAAACCUCUACUUCAAUCCCCACAAGAAUCAACGAGGAUCCUGACCAAUACCUUCCGUUAGACCCUGACUCAAAGGAUGAAGAUUGGCCUGAAUUGCUAACUGACUCUUGGUGUUAUAACCCAGCAUAUAUACCAAGACAAGCAGGUCCCUCUGGUUGUGGUAUGUGGGAUGCCGCCUCAACAUGGCCUGAUGAGCAGUGCCACGUCUGCGUGCCCAGGAUCCGAACCUGCGAAACCCUCGGAUGCUGAAGUGGAGCGCGUGAACUUAACCACUCAGCCACGGGGCUGGCUCCUAGCUAAAGCAAAGUAUGAGUCCACCUGAGUGGCGCUCAAGGUCCCAGGGAUUCUGCCCUUCUCCAGGCAGCACACAGGAGGGCAGCCUGCAGCAUCAAAGGGCACGAGCUUGGCUCAGAUCCAUGAUUUCAGUUUGGGGCAUAAAUAGGACAUUUAAUGGGAAAAAAACCCCAGACAUCUGAGAGCUUGCAUAGAGGCAUUCUAGCAAACAAGAAA
rnacentral:lncRNA from 1 species